rnacentral:lncRNA from 1 species
AUGAGCCCUGUUGAUGGCGUGGCUUCCGUACUCUGCUUAGGAAACCUCAGAAAUUCUGGGUUUUACUGGAGGAUGCUGCUCAAGAUGGUCCUUUGCCCCACAGCCAGUGUGCCGGCAUCCUGGCAUCCCAGCCAUUUCCUGCCCCGCGCUGCCCACCCUCCAUCCUGGUCACCCUGUGCAGGCAUGACCUCACCCCGCGGCCAGGAAGCCGGGCUCCUGUGCCCGCCUGUUUACCCUGGCAUUGGGACAGGUGGAUCACGUGCCGCCCCGGGAUGCCAGCCUCGUGAGUCGACAGCAGUGGGCACAGGCGGGUGGGAGGAGAGGGCAUUCCUCUGGGCUGACUCGCACCCCGCUGGGCUGGCACGGGACCCCUGCUUUGGAGGCAGCUCCGGGGCGCUGGGCCGGCCCAGCUCUGCACUGGGGUGCUGAGUCACUGCCCGGCAGUGUGGCCUCUGAGUCACGGGGGCAGCAACCCUGUCCGCAACAGCAAGUCCUUUGUGGGACCCUCCUGGGCCAAAUGGGUGUUUGACCCUCUCUGCCUUUGGCCACCCUCAAGGUCUCUUGCAUCCUGAUCCCUUUACAGACCCCGCCCCCGUCAGCUGUGCUCCUUUGAGAUCCAGAAUCCAAGAGCUUGACUCAAGUCAGCAGCUGAGUUACGGGAAAGGGCAAGCCGUGGGCAGAUGAAGCAAGCUCGGGCGGGAGCAGACCGGCGAGAUCCGGCGAGAUCGGGGCGAUCGAUGGGUGGCGGGUCUCACGCCCUGGCAGGCUCGGGAGGUGCACACAGGUCUCCCGUGUCUUGUGUAUUUUGUGGGCCUCUUGGCAGUGACCUUGAAAACCCACCCCACUCUGUGGGAGCAGAUACAAUAAUAACAUCUGUGUGUUGACAACCUGCUGCCCUUUAUUAAUUCUGCUCUUGACCCAUAGACGUCAGACACUGGCCUUCUACCUGUUUCAUGGUUGAUGAAACUGAGGGUUUAGGGGAGCAGACACUGGCUCAGAGUCACAGAUCCACGGGCUGGCGUGUUAGGGUAGGGAUUGGAGCCCAGACCUCCGUUCACUGUGAGACUGUCUGAGUUUGUUCUCUCUCUCUCUUUCUCUCUCUCUCUCCCUCUCCCUCCUUCCCUCUUUUUUCUUUGCCUCUUUGCCUCUUUGCCUCUUGGCUGCUGGGAUCUUUCCCGAGGAAGGCAGCUGUCAACCUUGUAGGUAGCCCACUAUUAAAAGGAAACAAAAGUGGGAUCCCUGGGUGGCGCAGCGGUUUGGCGCCUGCCUUUGGCCCAGGGCGCGAUCCUGGAGACCCGGGAUCGAAUCCCACAUCGGGCUUCCGGUGCAUGGAGCCUGCUUCUCCCUCUGCCUGUGUCUCUGCCUCUCUAUCUCUCUGUGUGACUAUCAUAAAUAAAUAAAUAAAAUCUUUAAAAAAAAAAAAAAAAGGAAACAAAAGUGUCAUUGGGAGCCCUGCUGUCACUGUGGAUUGAGCGGGCAUGCUGAGCCCUGAGGGCAGACUGGGGAGGAGGAUGGACCUCAUCCAUGGACUGAGAAAGCAGCAGCCGAGACCCUGACCAAGGCCCUGACUGGGAGGGCCUCCCAGGGUGCCUCUGAGGGUGCCGGCUGGGAGCUGGGGUGGGGAUGGGGCUUGCUCAGGAGAAACUGGGCAGCUCUCUGACCCAGAGGGGAAGUCUGUGUUGAGGCUGUAGGGUGCUGGGGAGGUAUCUUGGGCCUAAGCUUCAGGUUUCAGAGGUACCCUCCUCUAGUCGGUGACUUUGGUGGGGGAGGGGGACACUUACUUUCUGCUGGUCUCAGCUGUCUCUUACAGAAGGGGAGAGGUGGUUGUCCUGGAUCAGGGUUUCUAAAGCACAGCCCCCAUGUCUCCUGGGGGCAGGGACACCCGCUGGGGGCUGAAGGCUUAGAACCUGCAUUUGGAGUGAGCUUCCCAGGUGAGGCUGCAGAACCCCUUUGAGGUCAGACCCUGACUCUGUGGGUAAGGCCUCCAGGUGUUCCCACCCUCUGCCUCUGUGCUCUGAGCUGAGACCCUUACAGCUGCUGGCCUCAGCCUGAAAUGUGGCUUAGGGCCAAAUGGGCUCCACAGAUAGGGUUUUGGUGGGCCUGCGGGUGAAAUCCCUAAGGAUACUCUCCAUCCACUUUAUGUAGAGAGUGGGAUUUCUGGCCUGACUUGGGAUGGGGAGGGAUCCCAUUGGCACGGCCGCCACCCUGGCUGCAGCUGAACAAGCUGCCUCUGACGAUCGCCUCUGUCCAGCCCCCACCAUCCGGCCCUUUCCCCGGCCUCCCCCAUGGGAGCCACAUGCCAGUUGUCACUUAUAACCUUGCUCAUCCUGUGAAAUAUUUUUUUUUCUUUCUGUGAAAUAUUUCUUAGGCCACCUCUCUAUCCAACGUAGUAGAGGCGAACAAUGACUUCAUGUUUCUAGAAAGAUGAGAGUAGACACCUCUCUUCAUGGAGGAAUUUCUUGUAUCUGCUGUCCACUCUGGACACAGGCCGGAGGACCAGGGAGGGCGUUGGUGGAGAAGGGGAGUGUGCAGGUCCCUGCUGGCGUGUCAGAUUGACUUGGAAACACGGCAGCUGUCCUAUAGUAGCCAUCAAUCGGGGUUUUCUGAGUGCCGGGCCUAUGCCAAAGUACCUUUCUUUAUUAACCUAUCUAAUUCUUAACAAAAAGCUAACGGGGAGGUGUACUGUCCUCAUCCCUUUCGGAGAUGAAGCAGCUCGUAAGCAGCUCGUAAGGGGCAGGGCCAGCCUGCAGUUAGGCCUGGAGGGUGGAGCCCAGGCCUGGUGCUCCUCACUGUGCCUUGGCCCCAUGUCAUAGGCCUCAGAUAAUCCACCAAGCUCUUGCUAAGAAGUGCUUACAUGCACUGCCCCGUAUUUCAUUUCAUGCAGACCUCCCGCCCUCGUGUUACCCCAUUCAGUUGAGCACACACGGGGUUAGUGCUGAACUUCGAUCCGGGAAUCACUGCAAAGUCACACCUGGGGUUGAUCUUGGGCAGGGUGUUAAUCUAUCCUGCCCUAGCCUCAGUUUCCUUAUCCGUAAAAUGGGUGUGAUACCAACCAGGUCAAAGGUUGUCAAAUGAGACUCUCAUGUAUGAAGUGCCUGGUACACAGGAGGCCCUCAGCAAUGAUCUGUUUCUUUGUCCCUACAAGUAGAGAAGCUGAGUCACGAGUCCUGAGGGGAGAUCCCUUUUUCUUCUCUCCUUGAAUGUGUCAUCUCCCCAUUCCUUAAGCUUGCGUUCCCUGGGUGUGGUGAGCCCCAGGCAUGAUGGCUGGUGACAUACAAGCCGGUGGACACCUCCUUUCACGUGGGGCCCCGUGGGUGCAA